rnacentral:tRNA from 1 species
CGAAGAGAAGCUAAUAAUAGCAUUUAAUUGUUAAUUAAAAAAUAGUAAUGCAUUUUACCAUUCGG